AAGCCAUGCAUGUAUAAGUGUAACCUGCCAGACAGGGAAAMUGCGUACGGCUCAUUACACCAGCUGUAAUUUACUUGACCUUGACUUCUUACUUGGAUAACUGUGGUAAUUCUAGAGCUAAUACAUGCACCAAAGCUCCAAUCUUCCCAGAGCGGAGCGCAUUUGUUCGCCACAAAACCAAGCGCCCUCCGGGCGUCCAGUGUUGACUCAGAACAACUAAGCUGAUCGCACGGUCUUGUACCGGCGACGUGUCUUUCAAGUGUCUGCCUUAUCAACUUUCGAUGGUAGUGUACCUGACUACCAUGGUGAUGACGGGUAACGGAGGAUAAGGGUUCGACUCCGGAGAAGGGGCCUGAGAAAUGGCCACUACGUCUAAGGAUGGCAGCAGGCGCGCAAAUUACCCACUCUCAACAUGAGGAGGUAGUGACGAGAAAUAACGAGACCGAUCUCUUAUGAGGCCGGUCAUCGGAAUGGGUACAAUUUAAACCCUUUAACGAGUAUCUAUGAGAGGGCAAGUCUGGUGCCAGCAGCCGCGGUAAUUCCAGCUCUCAAAAUGCAUAGAAUUAUUGCUGCGGUUAAAAAGCUCGUAGUUGGAUCUGUGCUAGCCGGCCGGUGCACACUUUGUGUGUUACUGGUUUGGUUGGCUUUUCUGCUGGUCUCUCCCCGGCGUUGGCCUUCACCGGUCGGCGUCGGUGGGCUAGCGAGUUUACUUUGAACAAAUCAGAGUGCUUCAAACAGGCGUUUCGCUUGAAUGUUCGUGCAUGGAAUAAUAGAAGAGGAUUUCGGUCCGAUUUUAUUGGUUUUGCUGACCGAGAUAAUGGUUAACAGAGACAAACGGGGCCAUUCGUAAUUGCUACGUGAGGAGGUGAAWUUCUUGGACCG
rnacentral:rRNA from 1 species